UACGGAGGGAGCAAGCGUUACUCGGAAUUAUUGGGCGUAAAGGGCGCGUAGGCGAUCUGACAAGUCGGCUGUGAAAGCCCAGAGCUUAACUCUGGAAGAGCAGCUGAGACUGUUGGAAUUGAGUACAGGAGAGGAAGGCAGAAUUCCCGGUGUAGCGGUGAAAUGCGUAGAGAUCGGGAGGAAUACCAGUGGCGAAGGCGGCCUUCUGGACUGUGACUGACGCUGAGGCGCGAAAGCUAGGGGAGCAAACGGG
rnacentral:rRNA from 1 species